rnacentral:rRNA from 1 species
GACGAACGCUGGCGGCGUGCCUAAUACAUGCAAGUCGAACGCAGUGGGGACUGGUGAGUAACACGUGUGUAACCUCCCCUAAGAGUGGAUAACCCUUGGAAACAGGUGCUAAUCCUAUAUUGCUGCAUGGUCCCGCGGUGCAUUAGCUAGUUGGUGAGGUAACGGCUCACCAAGGCGACGAUGCAUAGCCGACCUGAGAGGGUGAUCGGCAACACUGGGACUGAGACACGGCCCAGACUCCUACGGGAGGCAGCAGUAAGGAAUCUUCGGCAAUGGACGAAAGUCUGACCGAGCAACGCCGCGUGAGUGAAGAAGGUUUUCGGAUCGUAAAACACUGUUGUUAGAGAAGCGGUAUCUAACCAGAAAGCCACGGCUAACUACGUGCCAGCAGCCGCGGUAAUUC